AAUACUUUAAUUCACAGAAAUAGAUUGGAAUCUACUAUACAAUCAGGAAAUGUGCAGGUUGUAAAUGCCAUAUUUUUGCUUUUAUUUCCAUCUCUACUUAAAUUUUUUUUUAUACUUUUUUUUUUUGGAAAAACAUAGACCUGGAGGGAUCUGAACUGAAGUAGGGAGAGGAGCAUGAACUAAAAUAUAUUUAUAUAUUUAUAUAUACACAAGUCAAAAUUCUACCAAUCACUUCACUAAAGGAUUUUUUAUAUUUUUUUGCCUACAAUAAUGAUAAUGCUCUCGGGUUGAGAAAACUUUUUUUUUUUUUUUUCCCCUUUCCAUUCAAUACAGAAGAAUAAAGUAAGAUCAGUGUAUUGGAAACAGGUAGAAAUUUGUUAUACAGAGGAGAUCCCCACAGACUUCGAAGGCUUAUAAUUCUAUAUACAGACAGCAAAAUCCAGGACAUUGCAUGGAGAGCUUCCCGGAGACAUACAGAGAUAGGCCACCCAACAACUUGUACAUCUUGUGUACAGUGUACAGAUAUAUAGGAAACUCUCACGGACAUCUGCACAAACAAAAGUUACACUGAUCUUGUAGGACACGCGCACGCACACACAUACUCACAGAUACAGCAUUAAAUACUAUUAUAAAUAACAAAAAAUUAUAGAAUAUCGGCUCACGCAGGUAUCCCCCUUGUAGAUUAAAGAGGUCCAGGUCACCAGUGCAAUGUAAGAGAUGGCGGAUCCACAGACUGAUAUCUUAUGCAGGGACAUCCUGCAAUGUUAAUAGAUGAAGGUCUCCAAUUUUUGGAGUAAGACAAUAUCAGAAUGACUGGUUUUGCCCAUUUGCUAGUGACAUUAUGCAUAUUUUUGGCAUCUACUCUACAACAUUGCACACUGUGAUAUUCUAUUUUGAACACUUUCGUCAAGUUUUUUUUUUUCGCGCCGGCCUUUUUGUUCAUUUUAAGGGGAACCAGAAAAGUGCACUCUGAUUACGGCAUCUGAGAAAUGCCCCAUUUAGAUUAUGACAUUCCAAAUGGAGUCCUCAACUACCAAACUGGAUGCCAUAAAAAGCGAGUCCCACAGUUUCUUUCUGAAUUUACUUAGGAGUGAAGUGCAAGUGUAAGUGUAAGCUGCAGUGAAGCGUCUAAAGUUGUUCCCAAGGAGAGAAAUAUCCAGCACCAAAUCCGGAUUCUUGGAAAAAAAAAAAUCGAAAUCUUCACAAAAUCGAUAACACAAAAACAGGAACCCCAAAGACAGGUCAAUGCAUUUCGUAUUACUGAAUCCUUAUUCAUUAGCUGGAUUCAGUAAUUCAAAACGCGUAAUACACAUUUUGGAAACCUUAUUCAUGAUUCAGUAAUCUGAAACACUUAGAUAAAUUUUUACGUAUUUUAUUAAGAAUCUGGAUUUAGUGCUGGACAUUUCUCUCCUUGUGAAGUUUUGGAAGAUUGAUUUCCCAAGAACCCAAGCACAGAUUGGAGACAGGUAGUGAGCUGAUCAUUGUAUGGUUUGUUGAUCCAGUCAGAUCGCCAUGGAAUGAAUUAUUUGACUCAUCCCUUAGAGGUUUUACAACUUCUUCUGGAUCAAAAAAAGUAAGCUAAGAGCUCAUCUAUCUUGAUUGGACUGGAUGUUGUGACUCCUCAUGCACCAAUUUAUGGAGCAGACUUUUGACCCAGUCUCAAUUUUCUGACAUACAGCCUACAGCCUUAGCUGCCUUUCUACAUCUUCUUCUUAGAGGCUAUGAUAUUGUCUUGUAAAUGUUUUAGUCUCCAUACAGAAAAGUCGAAGCAAGUAGGACAAGGAUAUGUCUCUGCAUCCUCCUCAUUCAUGGAAACGGAUGGCAGGGAAAUGUGUUGAACCAUCACAGGAAACUUUAAUGAUGUCCAUGGCUUCCGGAAAUUACUAGGGAGGCAAAACCGCACUCACUUUUCCACCCUUCAAAUUUUAUAGUGUUUUAUACAGAUCUCCUAAUAUACAGGGAGUUAUUUUUUAUGCACAAAAAUCAUGCUCCACACAAGUAAAAGGCAAAUCUGUCUACUGCAGACUCAAAAAGUUCUUAAGUUUCAUAACCUCAUGCUACCUUUCAAGAAUUGAUAUUUAGAAAAGUUAAUGAAGCCUUCUGCUCCUCUGAUACUUGUUAUAUAACGAUGAAACCAAUGCUUUUUAAGCAAAUCAUGUGCAAUGUAAACCGUAAGCUUACAGAAGAGGUCUAGUUUGCAUAGCAAGCUUUGGUAAACCAUUCCCGUCACGACAUACAUCAUACAUAUCACUCAUUAGAUCAUGCACACGGCUCGCCACUUACCAUAAAGGCCUAUAUAUUUAUAUACCCUGCUUCAAUAUGAUAUAUUAUACAGUGAUUUCAGAACCUCUCACGUUCUGAGUCUUUCAUAUGACAAAAUCUAUUGCACCAGACUUGAUUUUAUAAUAUUUGCCUUUCAAGACAAGUCAGUUAAAUAAGUCAAAAAAAUCAAAAAGGUGGAAGUCUGGCAGCUGGGCCAAGAAUGGACCCCCUUGUCCCCCAACUUCAGUAGAGAUUUGGUUGUGAACUGUGCAUGAAGAUCAAUGAAAGGCUUCCUAUGAAUGGUCUUAAUGGAAGAUGGAACUGGAACUAUCCCCUCUUGGGUCUUGAGACUAGCUGAUAGGUCUCCACCAUUGUGGCAUGGCACACUGACAUGUCAUAAAAGCAAAUUAUUACAAACUCACUUCAUUUAAAAGGGUUUUCCGAGAUUUUUAUACUGAUUUACCUAUCCUCUCGAUAGGUCAUCAAUA